AAAAUGGGGAGGAACAGAAUUUCUCCCUGCCUGGCAUGCAAAGUGUCUAAGUGAAGCCAACACCUGUGCCUGCCAGGCAUCGACUCCAGCCCCGGGCCAGUGACCUUGGCAGGGCCUCCCCCACCCCAACAGAGGCUGCAUCUCUGGCUCCC